rnacentral:rRNA from 1 species
ACGAACGCUGGCGGCACGCUUAACACAUGCAAGUCGAACGAGAGAAGAGAAGCUUGCUUUUCUGAUCUAGUGGCGGACGGGUGAGUAACACGUGAGCAAUCUGCCUUUCAGAGGGGGAUACCGAUUGGAAACGAUCGUUAAUACCGCAUAAUAUAAUUGAACCGCAUGAUUUGAUUAUCAAAGAUUUAUCGCUGAAAGAUGAGCUCGCGUCUGAUUAGCUAGUUGGUAAGGUAACGGCUUACCAAGGCGACGAUCAGUAGCCGGACUGAGAGGUUGAUCGGCCACAUUGGGACUGAGACACGGCCCAGACUCCUACGGGAGGCAGCAGUGGGGAAUAUUGCACAAUGGAGGAAACUCUGAUGCAGCGAUGCCGCGUGAGGGAAGAAGGUUUUAGGAUUGUAAACCUCUGUCUUCAGGGACGAAAAAAGACGGUACCUGAGGAGGAAGCUCCGGCUAACUACGUGCCAGCAGCCGCGGUAAUACGUAGGGAGCGAGCGUUGUCCGGAAUUACUGGGUGUAAAGGGAGCGUAGGCGGGAUCGCAAGUCAGAUGUGAAAACUAUGGGCUUAACCCAUAAACUGCAUUUGAAACUGUGGUUCUUGAGUGAAGUAGAGGUAAGCGGAAUUCCUAGUGUAGCGGUGAAAUGCGUAGAUAUUAGGAGGAACAUCAGUGGCGAAGGCGGCUUACUGGGCUUUAACUGACGCUGAGGCUCGAAAGCGUGGGGAGCAAACAGGAUUAGAUACCCUGGUAGUCCACGCCGUAAACGAUGAUUACUAGGUGUGGGGGGACUGACCCCUUCCGUGCCGCAGCAAACGCAAUAAGUAAUCCACCUGGGGAGUACGACCGCAAGGUUGAAACUCAAAGGAAUUGACGGGGGCCCGCACAAGCAGUGGAGUAUGUGGUUUAAUUCGAAGCAACGCGAAGAACCUUACCAGGGCUUGACAUAUAGAGGGAUAUAUAAGAGAUUAUAUAGUUCUUCGGAACCUCUAAACAGGUGGUGCAUGGUUGUCGUCAGCUCGUGUCGUGAGAUGUUGGGUUAAGUCCCGCAACGAGCGCAACCCUUACUGUUAGUUGCUACGCAAGAGCACUCUAGCAGGACUGCCGUUGACAAAACGGAGGAAGGUGGGGAUGACGUCAAAUCAUCAUGCCCCUUAUGACCUGGGCCUCACACGUACUACAAUGGCUGUAAACAGAGGGAUGCAAAGCCGCGAGGUGGAGCGAACCCCUAAAAGCAGUCUUAGUUCGGAUUGUAGGCUGCAACCCGCCUACAUGAAGUCGGAAUUGCUAGUAAUCGCAGAUCAGCAUGCUGCGGUGAAUACGUUCCCGGGCCUUGUACACACCGCCCGUCACGCCAUGGGAGUCGGUAACACCCGAAGCCUGUAGUCUAACCGCAAGGAGGACGCAGUCGAAGGUGGGAUUGAUGACUGGGGUG